UCGUGUAUUCAACUGGAAAAGUUAGCGUUUCCGUUUCAAGUAUUGGAGGGGUAAAAAUAACCAUUGCAUUUUCUUUUUUCCUUUUUUUUCCCGAGUAGCUGCUCAUUUUCCAGCGAGUAACAUAUCUUCUUUCUCGGGAAUCCUCGUAAACGACGUGAACUUCUUUCACCAUUCACCUGAAGGAACGAAAAGAACAAGUUCCAAUGUGGUUCUAAAGUUCCUUCGACGGAAAUAUUUGUCAACAAAGUAUAUUUUUCCUCUGAAGCCUCAUUUCUUCCAGAUGUAAUUUGGAAUUCUGUGAAAAUAUUUGCGUGUCUCAUUUCCCGGGAAAGAAGGGAAGAAGCCCUUUAGACUCUUGUUCUUUUCUGGCGGGAAAUUUGCAAUCUGUAGUCGGCAUUUUCCUUUUUUAGUUCCGCGACGAAAUUCAAGCAAGAGGAAGAGCAGGAUGUAUGAGAUUGAAUAGAACACUGCUUGUCUAUGAAGACAGUUAAACCAUGGAACUGGCUUUAAAGCAGAAAUGUUUUGAUGGGGGAACGCAUGGCUUUAAGAUGAAACAACUGCCUUUUAUGGGAAUAGUCUGUGCAACUAUGUUGUUCAUUGUGUAUAGAACCACAAAUUAUCAGUAUCAGCAUACAGAGAUGGAAGCUAGAUUACAUCCCUUUGCUGAUGUGAAGGAAUCACAGGAGGAUUCCAUGAAAGUAGAUUAUCUACCUCGUGGUAUUGUACAGUCAAGCUCAGAUAUGGAAAUGAGGCCAUUAUGGUUGACAAGUUGGUCAAAGUUGAAGGUCAAUAUUCCAAAUAAUAAGAGCUUAUUAGCAAUUCCAGCUGGUAUUAAGCAGAAGCGAUAUGUUGAUGCUAUAGUUCAAAAGUUUGUUUCAGAGAAUUUUACUGUUGUUCUUUUCCACUACGAUGGGAAUGUUGAUGGUUGGCUGGAUCUAGAGUGGAGUAACAACGCCAUACAUAUAGUUGCUCAGAAUCAAACAAAAUGGUGGUUUGCGAAACGUUUUCUGCAUCCAGAUGUUGUUUCCGUUUAUGAUUAUAUAUUUCUAUGGGAUGAGGAUUUAAGAGUAGACAAUUUCCACCCUGGAAGAUACUUGAAAAUUGUGAAAUCAGAGGGAUUGGAGAUAUCUCAGCCAGCUUUGGACCCAAAGUCUUCGGAUAUUUAUCAUAGGAUCACCAUCCGCAAAAAAUCCAAAAUUUUGCAUAGAAGAGUAUAUGAUAGACGAGGAAGUGUGAAGUGUUCAGAUGCUAGCCAAGAACCACCAUGCACUGGAUGGGUUGAGGGGAUGACUCCAGUAUUUUCAAGAUCUGCUUGGCGUUGUGUUUGGCAUCUUAUCCAGAAUGAUCUUGUACAUGGAUGGGGAAUGGAUAUGAAACUUGGUUAUUGUGCACAGGGUGAUCGAACAAAGAAGGUAGGAGUUAUUGACAGUGAAUUUAUUGUCCAUAAAGGGAUACAAACUUUAGGAGGAUCCUCAGCAAGAAAGGUGUCAAAAGACAUUCGUGGCAACAACUCCAUGCAGGUGUCAAAAUAGCUGCCCGAUAUUAAUUUUAGUAUGCAUUGUUUUUGUUUUUCUGUCUUGUAAUCUAGAGAUGAGGAGUUGCAGCAGUUGAUUUGCGAACUGAGAUAAGGAGGCAAUCAACCUUGGACCUUCGAAUAUUUCGAUAGCGCUGGGACCAAGCUAUAAGAGAAGAUAAAGACUGGGUUGAUCCAUUUCAAGGGAGCCAGAUGCAUCAUGACCGUGAGAAUGACUAUCCUGAAUAGACUUAAGACUUGUUGAUUUUUCUUUUCUAUUACCUCGUUAUCUGUUCAACUAUCCUUUUCUAUAAUUAAUUCAUUUUUUUACUAGCCUUUUUGUUUAUUAUUCUGUGGAUCUUUUGUUCAUGUUGUAAAUGUUGAAAGUCCAGUUUAAUUCCUACCUUAAUUUUUGUACUUAAAGCGAGUCGCUUAAGCUCCAAUGACAGAGAUUAACACGAAAACUUUUCAGUUCA